rnacentral:lncRNA from 1 species
CUGUGUAGUGAACUGAAAUAAAAUCACAUAGUUUUAAAUGAUGCAAAACAAUUCUAGAACACUAAUCAACCAAAAUAUACAUGUAAAAUAUUCAUAUUUCUAAACAAAUCUGCAUAAUACAUACAAGACAGGGACAACAGGUCUAUUUUUCAUAUUGAAAUUUGUUGAAAUAAAAUUCAUUUAAAACAAGAGGCUCUCAAGAGCCUGAAUCGCUCACCUGAAUUUUUUUGGUUUAAUCUCUCAUCAAUGAUUAUUUUGGCUUUUCAAUUUAUUUAAAUGUUCUUUGAAUCGUCCUAUUUUCUUCAAAAGCAAAAAAAAAUCA